rnacentral:tRNA from 1 species
GUUUCUAUAGUUGAUUACAACGGUGGUUUUUCAAAUCAUUAGUCCUGGUUAAAAUCCUGGUAGAAAUU